rnacentral:rRNA from 1 species
AAUCAACGCUGGCGGCGUGCCUCAGACAUGCAAGUCGAACGCGAAAGUCCCUCGGGGACAAGUAGAGUGGCGCACGGGUGAGUAACACGUAGGUAAUCUACCUUUGGAUGGGGAAUAACAACCGGAAACGGUUGCUAAUACCGCAUAAUGCAGCGGCACCUAAUGGUGGACAAGUUGUUAAAGCGGGGAUCGAAAGACCUCGCGU